rnacentral:tRNA from 1 species
GCGGGGGGUGCGCUGAAGAGCGCAAGCUGAAACUGAUGUUGAAGCUGACCACGGGAUGACAGUGGGGGUUCGAAUCCCUCCCCCGGCACCA